UCACCUCAGUGUUUUCGUUCUUUGCAUCCCAGUCAACCAUAUUUUUUUUACAAUUUGGCAAAUAUCCAAAUAAAUUAUGCAGUGCCACGGUUUUGGACAACCUUCCGUUAUCAGGUACAGCAGGUCCAACGAGUGGCGUUUAGAGACCACAGAAAGGAAGCUGCUAUAUUGAUGCUUCCUGCCCCCUUGCUGCAGGAAAUCACUUUACAUCAAUUUAGCCCACUCACAUCAACGUACUUUAUACUCCUCCUCCUGAACUGUGAGUCCUCAAAAGAUGAGAAGUUUGAUGCAAGAAUUCUUGGUCCAUGGCUGCACCAAGUGUGGUAUGCUUGUUCUCCUGCUGGAGUUUCAGAGACGGAUAACAGAAGCAUGUUUAUUGUCACGGUGAUCAGUUUGGAACAAGAUAUUAAUCCAAAAAUAGAGAAAGACUUAGUAUCAUACAAGCAUUUUCCCUUCCAAAAUAUAUACCGCAAGAUGGCUGGAUCAAACAAUUCAAAGAUUCAUUCGUAGCUAGCCAAAUCUGUUUUUCCUACAGGAACUGUUCGGCCAAAAUUUAAUCAACAUAACAACCAUCGGUGGCAUCGCGAGUCAGCCGAGUGUGUAAAUAAAUCUCUUAUGAUUUGUAUGGUUAUCAGGAAGUGGCAUUAACGUUUUUCAACGUUACUGUGAGGUGCACGCUUAACGUUGAAACUAUCUGGUGUGAUGAAGUUAUGUGGACUGUGAUAUCGGUACCGAUUAAACGGACUUUUUGGGUGUCACAAAACCAGAUUAAAGAGUCCACUACUCAAAAGGUGGCCAUUUUCGGCUAUGGUAGGAGCGAACCUUGGAGCAAACUGUCUACAGGCCCACAUGACGAUCAAGAAGGCCAGCAGCAAACGUCUCCAAUGCAUGCGAGAUGUUUCGAAUGAUUAGCUUCUGGAGAUUGGAAUCAAUACUAUCGGCUCGACCAAUUACCGACCGUUUCGAAGCGCAAAUGUGGAUGAAGUUUGGCGAUACGAUUGAUUAGUUUUGGAGUAGUGGUAGUAAGAACAUAUAUACCACCAAAUAAGAAAGUAUAUUUUCAUACGUCGAAGAAACGAAGAAACAAUUAAAGAAUCUUUCUGACAAUAAUCAUCGAACACCAAAUAUUUGUCGCAUCUCAACCUGCAGUAAACUGCGAAUAAAUAUACGGCUGUCAGAACGUCGUUGAUAAGCUUAUUGAUGAAGUUGUCGGCAUUAAGCAUUAACACCCGCAGUCUUUAUGCGAUGAGCGCAACAGUUCAAUCAUAAUUAUAAGCACCAAUGUUAAUUUCAAAACGAAGUUUCUUAUUGCAGGUUUCCCUUGUCCAAAACUGUAUGGAUUAUUUAUAAAAUAAUAAUUAGAUAAAAAAUAAUAAUGAUGAUAAAAUAAAGAAAGUACUGUU